rnacentral:rRNA from 1 species
GGCCCGCACAAGCGGUGGAGCAUGUGGUUUAAUUCGAUGCAACGCGAAGAACCUUACCUACUCUUGACAUCCAGAGAAUCCAGCGGAGACGCAGGAGUGCCUUCGGGAGCUCUGAGACAGGUGCUGCAUGGCUGUCGUCAGCUCGUGUUGUGAAAUGUUGGGUUAAGUCCCGCAACGAGCGCAACCCUUAUCCUUGUUUGCCAGCGAGUAAUGUCGGGAACUCCAGGGAGACUGCCGGUGAUAAACCGGAGGAAGGUGGGGACGACGUCAAGUCAUCAUGGCCCUUACGAGUAGGGCUACACACGUGCUACAAUGGCGCAUACAGAGGGCAGCCAACUUGCGAAAGUGAGCGAAUCCCAAAAAGUGCGUCGUAGUCCGGAUUGGAGUCUGCAACUCGACUCCAUGAAGUCGGAAUCGCUAGUAAUCG